rnacentral:rRNA from 1 species
UACGAAGGGGGCAAGCGUUGUUCGGAUUUACUGGGCGUAAAGCGUGCGUAGGUGGUUUGUUAAGUCUGAUGUGAAAGCCCUGGGCUCAACCUGGGAACGGCAUUGGAUACUGGCUUACUAGAGUGCGGUAGAGGGUAGUGGAAUUCCCGGUGUAGCAGUGAACUGCGUAGAUAUCGGGAGGAACAUCUGUGGCGAAGGCGACUACCUGGACCAGCACUGACACUGAGGCACGAAAGCGUGGGGAGCAAACAGG